rnacentral:rRNA from 1 species
AGUGAACGCUGGCGGUAGGCCUAACACAUGCAAGUCGAACGGCAGCACAGUAAGAGCUUGCUCUUACGGGUGGCGAGUGGCGGACGGGUGAGGAAUACAUCGGAAUCUACCUUUUCGUGGGGGAUAACGUAGGGAAACUUACGCUAAUACCGCAUACGACCUACAGGUGAAAGCAGGGGAUCUUCGGACCUUGCGCGAUUGAAUGAGCCGAUGUCGGAUUAGCUAGUUGGCGGGGUAAAGGCCCACCAAGGCGGCGAUCCGUAGCUGGUCUGAGAGGAUGAUCAGCCACACUGGAACUGAGACACGGUCCAGACUCCUACGGGAGGCAGCAGUGGGGAAUAUUGGACAAUGGGCGCAAGCCUGAUCCAGCCAUACCGCGUGGGUGAAGAAGGCCUUCGGGUUGUAAAGCCCUUUUGUUGGGAAAGAAAAGCAGCAGGUUAAUACCCCGCUGUUCUGACGGUACCCAAAGAAUAAGCACCGGCUAACUUCGUG